UUGAAAGCUGGCGUCUUCGGCGUCCGCAUUGUAAUCUCAAGAAGUGUUUUCCGCUUCGGACCAUGCCUAAGUCCCUUGGAAAAGGGCAUCAUAGAGGGUGAUAAUCCCGUACAUGGCAUGGAGCGCCCGAAGCUUUGUGAUACGCUUUCUACGAGUCGAGUUGUUUGGGAAUGCAGCUCAAAAUGGGUGGUAAAUGCCAUCUAAGGCUAAAUAUUGGGGAGAGACCGAUAGCGAACAAGUACAGUGAUGGAAAGAUGAAAAGAACUUUGAAAAGAGAGUUAAACAGUACGUGAAAUUGCCAAAAGGGAAGGGUAGGAGGUCAGAGAUGCGUCUUGGGAUUCAGCCUUGCUUUUGCAUGGUGUUUUUCCCAAGUUGCAGGCCAACGUCGGUUUUGGGCACUGGAGAAGGGUAGGAGGAACGUGGCACCUCUCGGGGUGUGUUAUAGCCUCCUACUGGAUACAGCGACCGAGACCGAGGAACGCAGCGUACUCGUAAGAGCGGGCCUUUUGGCACCUUUACGCUUAGGGCGUUGGCAUAAUGGCCCUCUACCACCCGUCUUA
rnacentral:rRNA from 1 species